rnacentral:misc_RNA from 1 species
CAGUGUUCCGUCGCGGCGCGCCGGGCCCCAAAGCCCGUGCGUGGUCGCGCGAAACCCCACCCUUGACUAUUGGACCUUCUGUUUCUUUGGCGGGCCCGCCGCAGGGCCGCCGGGAGCUUCGGCCCCUGGCCCGCGCCCGCCAGAGGCAAACUUGAACUCUUCUGUGAAUUGGCCGUCUGAGUAUGAUAUUGAAUCAUUA